rnacentral:rRNA from 1 species
AUGGGGCUGCUGUCGCACCGGGUGGAGCGGUCGGAGCUAAAGCCCGGCGACCACAUCUACACAUGGCGCGCCGCCUACUCCUACUCCCACCACGGUAUUUACGUCGGCGGAAGCAAGGUGGUGCAUUUCACAACGAAGAAAGAAGCGGGAACGGCGGGCCUUGACUCCGCCGUGGCUAUCUCGAGCCUCAUUUCCGCCGGCUCACCCGAGUGCCCGACCUUCCCGGACUGCGGCUUCCAGCUCCCCGACAGCGGUGUCAUCCUCACCUGCCUCGACUGCUUCCUCCGCGACGGCGCCCUCCACGGCUUCGAGUACGGCGUCCCUCCCGCCGUGUUCCUCGCCAAGCUCCGCGGCGGGACCUGCACCACCGCCGCGUCCGACCCGGCGGAUGCCGUGGUGCACCGGGCGAUGUACCUGCUCCAGAACGGGUUUGGCAGCUACGACGUGUUCGAGAACAACUGCGAGGACUUCGCGCUAUACUGCAAGACCGGGCUCCUGCUGCCGCCGGAGAAGGGCAUCGGGAGGAGCGGCCAGGCGGCCUCCGCCGUCGGCGUGCCGCUGGCGGCGCUCUUCUCGACUCCGUUCAGGCUCAUGUCGGCCGGCCCGCUGGGCAUGGCCGCCGUCACGGCGGGGAUGUACUGCGCCGGCAGGUACAUCACCGACAUUGGGGUGAGGAAGGACGUGGUGAAGGUGGAGGUGGAGAACCUGUCGGCGCAUCUGGGCUUGCGCCGGGCCAAAGCCGAAGAAGAAUGGGUGAAGAAGAAACAGCAGCCCGCUAAGGUGACGACGAGGUUGCUGCCGCUGAAGAGGAAACGUGACAGUGAUUUGCAUUUGCAAUCCGUGAAGUGA